UACGGAGGGUGCAAGCGUUAUCCGGAUUCACUGGGUUUAAAGGGAGCGUAGGAGGGCAGGUAAGUCAGUGGUGAAAUCUUCGAGCUUAACUCGGAAACUGCCGUUGAUACUAUCUGUCUUGAAUACCGUGGAGAUGAGCGGAAUAUGUCAUGUAGCGGUGAAAUGCUUAGAUAUGACAUAGAACACCAAUUGCGAAGGCAGCUCGCUACACAUAUAUUGACUCUGAGGCACGAAAGCGUGGGGAUCAAACAGG
rnacentral:rRNA from 1 species